rnacentral:tRNA from 1 species
AAAUAAAGUGUCCAGGGAUGGGAAUCGAACCCAAAGUGUUCCGCUUACCGGGCAGAUGCCAUGUCCACUAGGUUACUUUAUU